AGUAGUUUUUUGGUCUUUUUAAAGAACAGUUAUGUGUCACAUUACCGUUAUUUCUUGGAAAAAUCAUUGAAAUUAUCGAUAGUGUAUUCACAUAAGUAACGGAAUGAAUUAAAUAAUAGGCAUGCGUUGUUCAGGUACUGUGCACGUGAUUGUCGACAGAACGGUACUUAAAACUACAGAUUCCAAAUAAUAUUUUUAGGCAAACAUUAAAAAAAUAUUCUUUUGGACUCAAUAAUUUAGCAUAAAAAUGAACAACGCAAUACCUGGACUGUAGGUCCUUGACUUUUUCAGCCCUACUCAGAGAUCUGAUGGCCGACAAUGGUUUGGAGCGUUGAGGAAGCUACAUUUGUAGUACAGGGUGGUUUAAUACUGAAUUAUGUUUAAUGGAGGCUUAGUUGAUCAAUCUCUGACGAGAAAUUUUCAAUACAGUUCCAAGAUAAUUCAUUGUAAGGGCAUUAGUCAGUCCUUUGUGAGGGUCUGGGGUACUAAAUUACAUAAUUUAACUGGUCACUAGAUGAAUUUAAGAUUUCCUAAGGAUUUACAACAAUAUAAUUUAUAUAUUUAUUGUUUCUAUGACUACUUAGUUUAUUUUAGUUUCAACGAGUAGGCGUAGCUGAUUCUAUUUUGUUUGUUUGUUUGCGGUACCAUGGAAGUUUUGUGAGGUACUUGAGUUGCUUCACAUCAUAACUGUUUAACCCAUCAUACAGUCUUCCUAAAUUCUAUUUACAUAAACCUUAUAACAUAUUGGACUGAAGCUUAGGAUUUACGCGACUGUCAUGGCGUCAACUUCAAAUCCCCGCUCAUUGUUGGAGUUAUCCGCCAAGGCCGUCGUGCAGAACAAGAUAAAAGUGAACACUGGCGAUAUUCCUGCAACCCUGAUUGACCUGCUGAAUUCUGGACAUAAAUGCUGCAAUCCCCGUUGCGAUGAAAUUAUAUUUAAUCCCUUGAAUUAUAUAAAGUCGGAAGGGGAGGACAAUUUAUUGCAAAAACGCUGUGACAAUUGCAUGAGGUAUAGACGUUUUCAAUGCAUUCAUAUUACUCCCCACUUGGUGGUUAUGAGAAUUGAGGAUACUAGGGAAACAGGACAGGAGUCUUUGCAAUAAAUGUACUUUAGAAUAGUUGUGUAGCUUGUUUCAAUACAUAGUAUGUCGAAUUCUUAA